AUCGCCGCCUCCAUGCAGUCGAACGAGCGAGAGAGAGCUUGCUUUCUCGAGCGAGUGGCGAACGGGUGAGUAACGCGUGAGGAACCUGCCUCAAAGAGGGGGACAACAGUUGGAAACGACUGCUAAUACCGCAUAAGCCCACGACCCGGCAUCGGGUUGAGGGAAAAGGAGCAAUCCGCUUUGAGAUGGCCUCGCGUCCGAUUAGCUGGUUGGUGAGGUAACGGCCCACCAAGGCGACGAUCGGUAGCCGGACUGAGAGGUUGAACGGCCACAUUGGGACUGAGACACGGCCCAGACUCCUACGGGAGGCAGCAGUGGGGAAUAUUGCACAAUGGGGGAAACCCUGAUGCAGCGACGCCGCGUGGAGGAAGAAGGUCUUCGGAUUGUAAACUCCUGUUGUUGAGGAAGAUAAUGACGGUACUCAACAAGGAAGUGACGGCUAACUACGUGCCAGCAGCCGCGGUAAAACGUAGGUCACAAGCGUUGUCCGGAAUUACUGGGUGUAAAGGGAGCGCAGGCGGGAAGACAAGUUGGAAGUGAAAUCUAUGGGCUCAACCCAUAAACUGCUUUCAAAACUGUUUUUCUUGAGUAGUGCAGAGGUAGGCGGAAUUCCCGGUGUAGCGGUGGAAUGCGUAGAUAUCGGGAGGAACACCAGUGGCGAAGGCGGCCUACUGGGCACCAACUGACGCUGAGGCUCGAAAGUGUGGGUAGCAAACAGGAUUAGAUACCCUGGUAGUCCACACCGUAAACGAUGAUUACUAGGUGUUGGAGGAUUGACCCCUUCAGUGCCGCA
rnacentral:rRNA from 1 species